CCUACGGGUGGCAGCAGUGAGGAAUAUUGGUCAAUGGGCGAGAGCCUGAACCAGCCAAGUCGCGUGAAGGAUGACGGCCCUACGGGUUGUAAACUUCUUUUGUCAGGGAGCAAUUGGGUCCACGCGUGGGCUUAGCGAGAGUACCUGAAGAAAAAGCAUCGGCUAACUCCGUGCCAGCAGCCGCGGUAAUACGGAGGAUGCUAGCGUUAUCCGGAUUUAUUGGGUUUAAGGGGUACGGAGGCGGAAUAUCAAGUCAGCGGUAAAAAUUGGGGGCUAAACCCCGUCGUGCCGUUGAAACUGAUGGUCUUGAGUGGGCGAGAGGUAAGCGGAAUGCGUGGUGGAGCGGGGAAAUGCAUAGAUAGCACGAAGAACACCGGUUGCGAAGGCAGCUUACCGGC
rnacentral:rRNA from 1 species